GAGUUUACGGGAGGUAUUCCGCGCAGACCAGGGCUGAUCUUACAGACGACGACUCAGGCGCACGCAGGCAGCUACCGAUGUCGCGCCCGUAACGCCAUCGGAUUCGGCGACGCGAGCCCUCCGUUCCAACUCGUCGUGCAGCAAGUUGCAGGCGAGCCGCGGUGUAAGGUCGACAGCGUGACGAUAGAAGCUCACAAGAACGAACCCGUAGAUCUGGUCUGUGAAGUCGACAGCCGCACCUCCGGGCUCCAGUUUAGUUGGAAUCUAGAUGGCUUGAGUGUUUCGGGAGCGCAACACCAGCGGACGCGCAGUGUGCUACGCGUGGUCCCGCAGUCGAUCGCUGACUUUGGGACGUACCAUUGUGUCGUCGUAGGGGGGACGAUAGCAACUCUACUAGACUGCCAGGUUAUUCUACGUGACAGUGAUGGAGAGUCGUUCUGUCCUGACCUCGGUGACAUAGAGAACGGAAGGAAGCGCAUCGUGACGUCAGGUCGCAGG